rnacentral:rRNA from 1 species
AACGAACGCUGGCGGCAGGCUUAACACAUGCAAGUCGAACGCAUCCUUCGGGGUGAGUGGCAGACGGGUGAGUAACGCGUGGGAACGUGCCCUUCGGUUCGGGAUAACCCAGGGAAACUUGGGCUAAUACCGGAUACGUGCGAGAGCAGAAAGAUUUAUCGCUGAAGGAUCGGCCCGCGUCUGAUUAGCUAGUUGGUGGGGUAAUGGCCCACCAAGGCGACGAUCAGUAGCUGGUCUGAGAGGCUGAUCAGCCACAUUGGGACUGAGACAAGGCCCAAACUCCUACGGGAGGCAGCAGUGGGGAAUAUUGGACAAUGGGCGCAAGCCUGAUCCAGCCAUGCCGCGUGAGUGAUGAAGGCCUUAGGGUUGUAAAGCUCUUUCGUCCGGGACGAUAAUGACGGUACCGGAAGAAGAAGCCCCGGCUAACUUCGUGCCAGCCGCCGCAGUAA